rnacentral:rRNA from 1 species
CCUUACCAGGACUUGACAUCCUCUGCAUUACUCGUAACUGAGGAAAUCCUUCGGGACAGAGAGACAGGUGGUGCAUGGUUGUCGUCAGCUCGUGUCGUGAGAUGUUGGGUUAAGUCCCGCAACGAGCGCAACCCUUAUCCUUAGUUGCUAACAGUAAGAUGAGCACUCUAGGGAGACUGCCGGGGACAACUCGGAGGAAGGUGGGGAUGACGUCAAAUCAUCAUGCCCCUUAUGUUCUGGGCUACACACGUGCUACAAUGGGUAUAACAACGGGAAGCAAGCUGGUGACAGUAAGCAAAUCCCUAAAAAGUACUCUCAGUUCAGAUUGUAGGCUGCAACUCGCCUACAUGAAGUUGGAGUGCUAGUAAUCGCGAAU